UACGUAGGGGGCAAGCGUUGUCCGGAUUUAUUGGGCGUAAAGCGCACGCAGGCGGUCUCUUAAGUUUCGAGUGACAGGUGGUGGCUUAACUACCACAGGCCUUGGAAAACUGGGGGACUUGAGGGCCAAAGAGGGAUGACGGAAUCCUAGUGGUAGCGGUGAAAUGCGUAGAUAUUAGGAGGAACACCAGUGGCGAAGGCGGCUACGUGGACUGUGAACUGACGUUGAGGCUGCGAAAGCGUGGGAGCAACAG
rnacentral:rRNA from 1 species